AUCCAGUGACUGGUUCCUACCACAAGAUCCUCUUCCAAACGAUAAACUGUCUUUGGCAACCCCGAAAGGAAAACAAGGCACUCUUUGCUCUGAUCAAAUCACAGUGCCAGUCUGCAGCUCACGACACCGUUUAUAGGAUAUCCCGAUGGGGCAGCUCCUCGGCAAACUUCAUGGUAAGGAGUGGAGGCACAGGCAAAUAAGAUUGAUAACAGACCGGGUUUUUAAUCGCGUUAAAAAUGAAUCAGGAAGGGCUGAUCUGUCGUUCGAAGAUCUGUACAUUGCUGUCCUACUUGUCUACAAUGAUAUCAAUAAGCUGUUGCCUGGUCCCCAUUUUGAUCCACCCUCCAAAGAUCAAGUCAGAACCAUGAUUCAGGAGUGUGACCUCAACCUUGAUGGGGGAAUUGACCAUGAUGAAUUUGUGAAGUUUAUUCAGCGGCUAACAGCAGACACAUUCAUUGUUGUUAGUCAGGGACUGAUACUAACUUUGAUUGUAGCACCCACAUUUGCAAUGGCAACAAAGAAGGCUACAGAGGGUGUCCCAGGCGUUGGAAAGGUGGUUCAAAAACUACCCAAUUCAAUAUAUGCAUCCCUCGUCACUCUUGCGAUCGUGUGGUUCCAAAAUGCUCGCCAGGACCUUGACUAGAGACUUUAAUUCUGUUCAUCCAAAAUAUCUCCACUCUGUAUCAUGCACUAGCUGCCUUCUAGUUGUUUUCUUCGUGUUUCAUGGAAUGGAGUGUUGUAUUUGUUUAUGUCUUAUUAAUUACGACGAUAACAUUGUUACUUCUGUUCAGGGUAUUGAUUAGUCAGUNNNNNNNNNNNUGGAGUUAAGUAGUUAGCUUGUAAUACAUUUUAAAGAUAUGUACUAUAAAUUUCAUAAGCCUUUUCCCUUCCUCAAAAAAAAAAAAAACAAC
rnacentral:misc_RNA from 1 species